rnacentral:piRNA from 1 species
UGGAAGCAUGGCUGUCUGCACAGAGGGUC